rnacentral:rRNA from 1 species
UACGGGGGGAGCAAGCGUUGUUCGGAUUUACUGGGCGUAAAGGGCGCGUAGGCGGCCACCGCAAGUCAGUUGUGAAAUCUCUGGGCUUAACCCAGAACGGUCAGCUGAUACUGCGGGGCUAGAGUGCAGAAGGGGCAACUGGAAUUCUCGGUGUAGCAGUGAAAUGCGUAGAUAUCGAGAGGAACACCUGCGGCGAAGGCAGCCCCCUGGGUCAAAACUGACGCUCAUGCACGAAAGCGUGGGGAGCAAACAGG